rnacentral:rRNA from 1 species
UGAGCAACCUGCCCUUGACACUGGAAUAACAGUUGGAAACAGCUGCUAAUACCGGAUACGACCUUCGAUGGCAUCAUCUGAAGGUGGAAAGUUCCGACGGUCAAGGAUGGGCUCGCGGCCUAUCAGCUUGUUGGUGAGGUAACGGCUCACCAAGGCUUCGACGGGUAGCCGGCCUGAGAGGGUGACCGGCCACACUGGGACUGAGACACGGCCCAGACUCCUACGGGAGCAG